ACAGGGAUUGCCCUAGUAACGGCGAGUGAAGCGGCAACAGCUCAAAUUUGAAAUCUGGCGUCUUUGGCGUCCGAGUUGUAAUUUGCAGAGGGCGCUUUGGCAUUGGCAGCGGUCCAAGUUCCUUGGAACAGGACGUCACAGAGGGUGAGAAUCCCGUACGUGGUCGCUAGCCUUUACCGUGUAAAGCCCCUUCGACGAGUCGAGUUGUUUGGGAAUGCAGCUCUAAAUGGGAGGUAAAUUUCUUCUAAAGCUAAAUACUGGCCAGAGACCGAUAGCGCACAAGUAGAGUGAUCGAAAGAUGAAAAGCACUUUGGAAAGAGAGUUAAAAAGCACGUGAAAUUGUUGAAAGGGAAGCGCUUGCAGCCAGACUUGCCUGUAGUUGCUCAUCCGGGUUUCUACCCGGUGCACUCUUCUAUAGGCAGGCCAGCAUCAGUUUGGGCGGUUGGAUAAAGGUCUCUGUCAUGUACCUCCUUUCGGGGAGAACUUAUAGGGGAGACGACAUGCAACCAGCCUGGACUGAGGUCCGCGCAUCUGCUAGGAUGCUGGCGUAAUGGCUGUAAGCGGCCCGUCUUGAAACACGGACCAAGGAGUCUAACAUCUAUGCGAGUGUUUGGGUGUCAAGCCCGAGCGCGUAAUGAAAGUGAACGGAGGUGGGAACCUUUCGGGGUGCACCAUCGACCGAUCCUGAUGUCUUCGGAUGGAUUUGAGUAAGAGCAUAGCUGUUGGGACCCGAAAGAUGGUGAACUAUGCUUGAAUAGGGUGAAGCCAGAGGAAACUCUGGUGGAGGCUCGCAGCGGUUCUGACGUGCAAAUCGAUCGUCAAAUUUGGGCAUAGGGGCGAAAGACUAAUCGAACUAUCUAGUAGUGGGUCCUGCAGA
rnacentral:rRNA from 1 species